GUCUCACAGGAAGACAUCUGGAGCCUCCACCUCCCACUAUACGACUCAGCCUACGGUUAGACGCCCGCACCCAUCUACCUCUCAGA
rnacentral:tRNA from 1 species